rnacentral:misc_RNA from 1 species
GAUGAAGAACGUAGCGAAAUGCGAUACGUAAUGUGAAUUGCAGAAUUCAGUGAAUCAUCGAGUCUUUGAACGCGCAUUGCGGCCCCUGGUAUUCCGGGGGGCAUGCCUGUCCGAGCGUCAUUGCUGCCCUCAAGCACGGCUUGUGUGUUGGGCCUCCGUCCUCCUCCCGGGGGACGGGCCCGAAAGGCAGCGGCGGCACCGCGUCCGGUCCUCGAGCGUAUGGGGCUUCGUCACCCGCUCUUGUAGGCCCGGCCGGCGCUUGCCGACACAUCAAUCUUUUUUCCAGGUUGACCUCGGAUCAGGUAGGGAUACCCGCUGAACUUAAGCAUAUCAAUAAGCGGAGGA